UACGGAGGGAGCUAGCGUUGUUCGGAAUUACUGGGCGUAAAGCGCGCGUAGGCGGCUUUGUAAGUUAGAGGUGAAAGCCCGGAGCUCAACUCCGGAACUGCCUUUAAAACUGCAUCGCUUGAAUCCAGGAGAGGUGAGUGGAAUUCCGAGUGUAGAGGUGAAAUUCGUAGAUAUUCGGAAGAACACCAGUGGCGAAGGCGGCUCACUGGACUGGUAUUGACGCUGAGGUGGCGAAAGCGGUGGGGAGCAAACAGG
rnacentral:rRNA from 1 species